GGGAUUCAUUUCUUCACUAAAGUGCCUGGGGAAGUAGUAAUUAGUGUGGGGAGAGCAACACUUAUUCCAAUCCCUCUGGAGUUCCUAGUGGAAUCUGAGACUCCAAGGCUCUGGCCAACCCGCAAGCUGGAUUAGUUGCCGUUGACGGAGCUCCUCCAAUGAAAUCUUCUCUGCUCUCUGAUUUGGCGGUUCUUCCAAGCAAAUAUGACAGCCUUUUCUCCAGGCUCUUUUCUGCUUCUUUCCAUGUCCAUCCCCAGAGCCCCGCUCUCCAUCUGCAGUUUCUACAUCAGAACCUUUGCAAUCACCACCACCACUUCCAAGUCCCAUUCCAGCAAGUGUCUGAUUGCUACAAAGGUGACAUGGCAUUUUGGGACGAAUGCAAGUGUUGCUUGUUGAUUACAGAAGAUACUUAAGCCCAGUUUUUCCAGGUGGGGAAAUGUUAGAAUAAAUGCACUGUACUUUGUAGUAAAUAUAUAAUCAUGCUGACUUAGAUUGUUAUUUCUUUGGGACAUUGGUAAAUGCUUCCCCCCCCCCUUUUUUUUCAUUUAAUGAGAAGUAGCCUACAAAAUGUGUAAGAUGCUUUGGUGAAUUUAUAAUGUCCAUGAAAAAAAUAGUAUGCAAACUUUUUGUAUUAGGACUAGCCUUAGGUUUUUAUUUAUUUUAAUGAGAAAUUCCUUCCAGAAAUUUUACCCAUUAUCUUUAGUUACUAACCAAUCUGAUAAAGGUACAAUGAUAUGAUUUUUCUAAAGUAUAGCCAAGAGGAAGUCUUGCUUUUGUGAAAAUAUUUUGUAUAUGAAGUUAAUAUUAAUACAUGAUGUGCCAUGUA